rnacentral:rRNA from 1 species
UACGUAGGCAGCAAGCGUUGUUCGGAGUUACUGGGCGUAAAGGGUGCGUAGGCGGCUUUUUAAGUUUGGUGUGGAAUCUCCCGGCUCAACUGGGAGGGUGCGCCGAAUACUGAGAAGCUAGAGUGUGGGAGAGGAAAGUGGAAUUCCUGGUGUAGCGGUGAAAUGCGUAGAUAUCAGGAGGAACACCGGUGGUGUAAACGGCUUUCUGGACCAUAACUGACGCUGAGGCACGAAAGCGUGGGUAGCAAACAGG